rnacentral:rRNA from 1 species
CAGUCGCCGCGGGAAAACGAAGGGUGCAAGCGUUAAUCGGAAUUACUGGGCGUAAAGCGUGCGUAGGUGGUGGUUUAAGUCCGUUGUGAAAGCCCUGGGCUCAACCUGGGAAUUGCAGUGGAUACUGGGUCACUAGAGUGUGGUAGAGGAUAGUGGAAUUUCCGGUGUAGCAGUGAAAUGCGUAGAGAUCGGAAGGAACAUCUGUGGCGAAGGCGACUAUCUGGGCCAACACUGACACUGAGGCACGAAAGCGUGGGGAGCAAACAGGAUUAGAUACCCGGGUAGUCCCUGUCUCUAUACA